CUCCCCCAGCCCUCCCCAUCCCAACCCCCCAUUCUUAUCCAUAGGCACAGGGUGAGUCACAGAGUAUGAGUCAGGGUUAGGAUUCACAUACAGGUCUGACCGUCAUCCUGAGCACUGGCGUACCAGACACCACUCCCAGAUAGCAACCCUUCAGACUUGGGGGCAGAGGGGGGUGGGGAACAAGACUAGUACUGAAAGUGAACACUGGAUUGUGCUUUUAUUUUCUAGUUGCUCUAAUGGAAGAAAGGGAUUUUGUCAGUUUACUUUGCCCGGGAAUUUAACACCUGUUGUGUAAAAGCCAACCUCUACCCCCAUGCCAGCCCUGCCUGAACACAGAAGGAUGACUGAAACCACAGCGGGCUGAACAGUUUGGGAGAUGACUGCAACACAGCUUUAAGAGCUACCACAGUUGAGAAAACACUGGAGGAUAUCUACUAGGUGACAAAAGGAAUGAACUUCCGGAUGUUUUUCAAAUCUUAUUCCUGUAAAUAAGAAACAGCUGACUGUGAUCCUGCAAAUUCCAGUUGAGAAAGCCACGCUGAUACUAAUGCAUUAUGCUGCGUCCAGAAUCCCUUGAUAGAAUUACAGCAUAACUGUACACAGCUGGGUGGAUAUGAUCAUGUUGCACCAAUAGAUCAUACUAUCAGGAAUAAGAGAAACUGAGAUCCAGCACUAACAUGCUACUACAACGCUGUGUCUCCAAAUUUAGUACGGUGUGUUUUUCAACACUAACUUUCUAACAACAUGGACAAAUAAAGCCAUGCAUACGCUGGCAAACCGUGGCAAGAGAAGUUUGCUGAUGACAGUCUUGUUAUUGUAACAGGAAGUGACUCAGCCUUGGCAACAAGAGAUCAGAUAUUUUAUUCAGAAGCAUUAGGUCAUUUUUUUUUCCCCUAACCAACCAACAGUUUCACAAGGCAACUGGUUUUGUUUGAAAAUAAAUAUCUAUUUUGAAAGUGAUUCGCUGAGGGAGUGGAGUUAAACAUUUAUGGUUAGGAAUAACUACUUGGUUUAAUUUAAAGCAUCUGGAAACUUCUUGUCCUGUUAACCCUCUUAAUGUGCUGUUUGUACAAAAUUCCUCCCCCUCAGGCAGGAAUUCUCCCACAUGGGGUCAUGAAGAUGACUGUUGUAAAGGAGCAUCUUUAAGAGAAGAUAUGCUGAGAGAGCUGUCAUUUUUCAACCUGGAAAACUGAAGGCUCAGAGGGACCUCAUCAAUUUGUAUACAUACCUGACAACAUGCAACCAAGAGGGAGCCAGGCUCUUUCUUUUGCAGGCAACCUAUUUCCUAAACAUGAUGCAACACAGCUAAGUACAAUAAUCCAGAUGUGAUUCAACUGAGGACUCUGAAAAUUAGCAUCUAUUCCUGGAAAUUCCUACUGCAUCCCGUGAUCUCAUUUACUGUCUUGAUACUGGCUGAAAGUCCUUCUGUGAGCCAGGUGAUCUCAUGAUCAGGUGAUCUCAUCAUCAGUGGUUAAAUGGCCAGUUUGUUCUUUUGUCAAGAUAACUGAUGACCUCCUGCAGUGCAAAAUCAAUUCUCGGUGUUGGUACGCAAGUGCACGAUCCCAAAUUUCGUAUUAUUUUUUCUUUCCACUGACAUUACUCCAGCCCACAGGGCCAUUCCUUUUUCUGUGAUAUUACAGUACAAUCCAUCUCUGUAUCAGCAAUAUCUCCCACCAUCAAACCAUCAUUAUAUUUCAUUACUUCUUUCCUAUUUCUUGUGCCAAGGUCAGGAAUGGAAAUAUCAGUUCAAAUAUUUUCAUGAAGUCCAGAAAAAUUAGAUCUGUCGCAGUUCUCUUGAGAAAAUCUAUUGAUAAGAGAAAAUCUAUUCUCUUAUCAGUGAAAUGUCUAAUUAAUGAUAUCACGUUAGCCUAAUGAAAUCUAAAUUAGACACCGGAGGAGUUUCUAUGGGAGCUAGCAGAAGGAUCAUAACUCUGUAUUUUUAAUUUGAUUGAGAUCCUAAUGCAAUCUCAAAAAAUAUCCAAGGAUUUCAGAAGAACUGCAGUAAAAUAUCUAGCAUGAUGAUAAAACCAUGACAAUAUGUAAUAGAAAAACGGCACCCAACACAUAAGUUAGAUCUUAAAUAUUAUUUGUCAUGCUUCUUAAAAUUCCUUGUACUAUUUUAAAAGCCAUUAUUUUAAAAAUAACACUGUCAUAUAAAUGUUUUGGAGUUUGGACUUCCAAUUUUUGAGUCAGUGAAAGUCACUUUGGUUGCAGCUUUAGGAUUUUUUUCAAACAUAAAAAGGCAGCAAGAGCCUAUUUUUCUCAUGGAACUCAGAUUUUGACCUAUUCACAUGCCUACAGGAUAAAAAAAAAAAAAGUCUUAAAAUUAAAACUAAAUAUCAUUAUAUGUUUUACAGUUGUGCGAGCAUCAGUUGUAGUUAGGCACAAGCAGAACUUUUGAGGCACUAGGGAAAGAGGGAAUUUUAAAAAUAAUUACAUAUCGGGUUAAAUGUUGCCAUCAUAUUGAAAUUUCACAAGAAAGGUCAUUUCACAAAGUGAUUGUUGCUCCAGAGAUUUUAUAUAAGUGGUCUGUACUAUUGCAAUUGUACUGAAAUAGGAGAACAUCCACUGAGAUUAUGAUGGAGAGAGGAAUUACAUAUAUCGUGUAUUUAUUCAACUCUGUCCGAGUGUGUGAGAAUGAACAUUCUACAUACCGUAUCAAGACUGAAGUGUGAAUGACGGAUAUGUGGAUGUGUGACAAGCUUGAAAAAAAUAAAUAAAGCAAUGCUAAAACACUAUAGGAAAUAACUGAAUGGAGUGGAAUGGAUUCUGCUUUGGGUGACACUUUGACUAGAAAGGCUGUCUUACAGGGCACAAUUUAGACCAUGGCGUGCAC